AACGAACCGUGCGAACGUUGUUCGGAAUCACUGGGCUUAAAGGGCGCGUAGGCGGGUCACCAAGUCCGGGGUGAAAUCUUUCGGCUUAACCGGAAAACUGCCUUGGAUACUGGUGAUCUCGAGGGAGGUAGGGGUCUGUGGAACUGCUGGUGGAGCGGUGGAAUGCGCAGAUAUCAGGAGGAACACCGAUGGCGAAGGCGGGUCUCUGGGCCGAUACUGACGCUGAGGAGCGAAAGCGUGGGGAGCGAACAGG
rnacentral:rRNA from 1 species